GACGAACGCUGGCGGCGUGCUUAACACAUGCAAGUCGAACGGAAAGGCCCUGCUUGCAGGGUACUCGAGUGGCGAACGGGUGAGUAACACGUGGGUGAUCUGCCCUGCACUUCGGGAUAAGCCUGGGAAACUGGGUCUAAUACCGGAUAGGAGCCAUUUUUAGUGUGAUGGUUGGAAAGUUUUUUCGGUGUAGGAUGAGCUCGCGGCCUAUCAGCUUGUUGGUGGGGUAAUGGCCUACCAAGGCGGCGACGGGUAGCCGGCCUGAGAGGGUGGACGGCCACAUUGGGACUGAGAUACGGCCCAGACUCCUACGGGAGGCAGCAGUGGGGAAUAUUGCACAAUGGGCGCAAGCCUGAUGCAGAGACGCCGCGUGGGGGAGGACGGCCUUCGGGUUGUAAACUCCUUUCGCUAGGUACGAAGCUUUUUGUGACGGUACCUAGAUAAGAAGCACCGGCUAACUACGUG
rnacentral:rRNA from 1 species